GUUCCCGUAGUUGAGAACAACGAUGGCUUUUCAAGCCGUAAGUCCUUGGGUUAGACCAAGCGGGAAUA
rnacentral:tRNA from 1 species